rnacentral:rRNA from 1 species
AUGCCCGAUCCCAAUCCCCUUCACCUCCUCCUCCCUCUCGCUCCACUGCACGACCCCUUCCCCUGCUCUCUUCCACCACUUCCACUGCCUUCAACCACAAGGAGGCCGCCGCCUCACCAGGAGAUCGCUGCAUCGCCGGGGACGCCGAGCGCCACCUACCCCGGCGGCGACCAAAGCCAUCGGAGUUCCGCACACCUCGCCCUCGCGUCUCCGACCUCCUCAUCGCCCUGCCAUGGCGCCCGCAUCUCCCGUUGUGCUGCGCCAAUGGCGCCUCCGGCGACCCCUUCCUCAGCUGGUCGCCGCCGCCGACUAGCGCCAGCAAAUGGCAGCAGCGCCGCCUCAGCGCACCUCGUUGCUGGAGAACCACAAGCACGACACCAACAGCGAGCCCACCUCCUAUGUCCAUCCCCGUUGCUUCUCCUCGUGCCUCGUUCUGACCUCGUCCACGACGUCCGACCCCCUGCAUCACCUCCUGGCCCCACCUCGUUCAUAUCCACCAUGGCCACUUUGGCCUUGCUCGCUGUUUUGCUCAGUCGCAUCAGCCGCAGUCGCCUCCAUGUUUUGUUCCUUGCGGGAAGAAGACCCAUGCCCUUCGAUUGCAGCAUGCCUUCGCUGGGUUUUCUCCGCAAGGCCCCUUUGCGAAUCACUGCCAAGGCCAAGACCAUCUCCGGGCACGAAGCCUCAAGUCUGAGGACUAUUGCAUUCGUGGAUCCCUUUCGCCAAGUACCACGACCGGUGAAGUCCAAGACAGAGACCUACUCGAGCAGGAGCAUUUUUUGGGAUCGUCAGGACCACCUCAAGUUCGACUACGACCAUCCCUCACCAAGACCGACCCCGAAAGGCUCGGAUUCGUCACGUGUGCAACGGCGCAUGUACAACUAUGCGGACUCGACAAGUACCACUUCAUGUCGACAAGACCACACGGAUGCUGGAACGAGUACUGAACGAAACACCAAGUACCACUACCGCCGCUAUAAUUUUGACAAGAAAUGUGUACCACUACCGUCGCCAGUACGUCUACCAUCGUCAUGUACCCCUACUUCCACUACCGUCGCGAGAACAACUACUUCCUCUACGAACUCGAACCGCUCUGAGAAUCCUCCCUUGUAA